UACGAGGGGGGCAAGCGUUGUUCGGAAUUAUUGGGCGUAAAGAGCUCGUAGGCGGUUUGUCGCGUCUGCCGUGAAAGUCCGGGGCUCAACUCCGGAUCUGCGGUGGGUACGGGCAGACUAGAGUGAUGUAGGGGAGACUGGAAUUCCUGGUGUAGCGGUGAAAUGACGCAGAUAUCAGGAGGAACACCGAUGGCGAAGGCAGGUCUCUGGGCAUUAACUGACGCUGAGGAGCGAAAGCAUGGGGAGCGAACAGGG
rnacentral:rRNA from 1 species